rfam:Loxodonta africana unplaced genomic scaffold scaffold_5, whole genome shotgun sequence.
CGCCUAGUCUGCUGGCGCCGAGGACUCGGACUCGGGAAACCACGCAGUUGAAGCGAGCCUGGGGCUUCUUUAGAGGCGCUGACAUCCGAGGAGCCUUCUCCUGG